ACCUCGGAUCAGGUAGGGAUACCCGCUGAACUUAAGCAUAUCAAUAAGCGGAGGAAAAGAAACCAACAGGGAUUGCCUCAGUAACGGCGAGUGAAGCGGCAACAGCUCAAAUUUGAAAUCUGGCCUCUUUGGGGUCCGAGUUGUAAUUUGUAGAGGAUGUUUCGGGUACCGCCUCGGUUUAAAUUUCUUGGAACAGAAUGUCAAAGAGGGUGAGAAUCCCGUCUUGGACCGGCGGUAGGGCCCAUGUGAAACUCCUUCGACGAGUCGAGUUGUUUGGGAAUGCAGCUCAAAAUGGGUGGUAAAUUUCAUCUAAAGCUAAAUAUUGGCCAGAGACCGAUAGCGCACAAGUAGAGUGAUCGAAAGAUGAAAAGCACUUUGAAAAGAGAGUUAAACAGUAUGUGAAAUUGUUGAAAGGGAAGCGCUUACAACCAGACUUGCGCGCGGCGGUUCCCCCUUCCUUUUGGUUGGGCUACUCCGUCGUGUCCAGGCCAACAUCGGUUCUGGGGGUCGGUUAAAGACCCUGGGAAUGUAUCUACCCUUCGGGCGUAGACUUAUAGCUCAGGGUGUCAUGCGACCUCCCGGGACCGAGGAACGCG
rnacentral:rRNA from 3 species